rnacentral:rRNA from 1 species
CCCUUAGAUGUCCGGGGCCGCACGCGCGCUACACUGAAGGAAUCAGCGUGGCUUUCUCCCUGACCCGAAUGGGUUGGGAAACCCGUUGAAUCUCCUUCGUGAUAGGGAUUGGGGCUUGAAAUUGUUCCCCAUGAACGAGGAAUUCCCAGUAAGCGCGAGUCAUAAGCUCGCGUUGAUUACGUCCCUGCCCUUUGUACACACCGCCCGUCGCUACUACCGAUUGAACGGUUUAGUGAGGGCCUCGGAUUGGUCUCGGCCCGCUCUUUACCGGGCGGCGCCGUUGGUCGAGAAGACGCUCGAACUUGAUCGUUUAGAGGAAGUAAAAGUCGUAACA